GGUGAGGUCAUAGUGCUAGUAGCGCUAGUAGCUGUCUUGAGAUCAGGGUGGCUGGUGAGGCCAUAGUGCUAGUAGCUGUCUUGAGAUCAGGGUGGCUGGUGAGGUCAUAGUUCUAGUAGCUGUCUUGAGAUCAGGGUGGCUGGUGAGGUCAUAGUGCUAGUAGCUGUCUUGAGAUCAGGGUGGCUGGUGAGGUCAUAGUGCUAGUAGCUGUCUUGAGAUCAGGGUGGCUGGUGAGGUCAUAGUGCUAGUAGCUGUCUUGAGAUCAGGGUGGCUGGUGAGGUCAUAGUGCUAGUAGCUGUCUUGAGAUCAGGGUGGCUGGUGAGGUCAUAGUGCUAGUAGCUGUCUUGAGAUCAGGGUGGCUGGUGAGGUCAUAGUGCUAGUAGCUGUCUAUAGAUAUCAGGGUGGCUGGUGAGGUCAUAGUGCUAGUAGCGUUAGUAGCUGUCUUGAGAUUAGGGUGGCUGGUGAGGUCACAGUGCAGGUAGCGCUAGUAGCUGUCUUGAGAUCAGGGUGGCUGGUGAGGUCAUAGUGCUAGUAGCUGUCUUGAGAUCAGGGUGGUUGGUGAUGUCAUAGUGCUAGUAGCUGUCUUGAGAUCAGGGUGGCUGGUGAGGUCAUAGUGCUUGUAGCUGUCUUGAGAUCAGGGUGGCUGGUGAGGUCAUAGUGCUAGUAGCGCUAGUAGCUGUCUUGAGGUCAGGGUGGCUGGUGAGGUCAUAGUGCUAGUAGUGCUAGCAGCUGCCUUGAGAUCAGGGUGGCUGGUGAGGUCAUAGUGCUAGUAGCGCUAGUAGCUGUCUUGAGGUCAGGGUGGCUGGUGAGGUCAUAGUGCUAGUAGUGCUAGCAGCUGCCUUGAGAUCAGGGUGGCUGGUGAGGUCAUAGUGCUAGUAGCGCUAGUAGCUGUCUUGAGAUCAAGGUGGCUGGUGAGGUCAUAGUGCUAGUAGCUGUCUUGAGAUCAGGGUGGCUGGUGAGGUCAUAGUGCUAGUAGCUGUCUUGAGAUCAGGGUGGCUGGUGAGGUCAUAGUGCUAGUAGCUGUCUUGAGAUCAGGGUGGCUGGUGAGGUCAUAGUGCUAGUAGUGCUAGUAGCUGUCUUGAGAUCAGGGUGGCUGGUGAGGUCAUAGUGCUAGUAGCUGUCUUGAGAUCAGGGUGGCUGGUGAGGUCAUAGUGCUAGUAGCUGUCUAUAGAUAUCAGGGUGGCUGGUGAGGUCAUAGUGCUAGUAGCGUUAGUAGCUGUCUUGAGAUUAGGGUGGCUGGUGAGGUCACAGUGCAGGUAGCGCUAGUAGCUGUCUUGAGAUCAGGGUGGCUGGUGAGGUCAUAGUGCUAGUAGCUGUCUUGAGAUCGGGGUGGCUGGUGAGGUCAUAGUGCUAGUAGCUGUCUUGAGAUCAGGGUGGCUGGUGAGGUCAUAGUGCUAGUAGCUGUCUUGAGAUCAGGGUGGCUGGUGAGGUCAUAGUACUCGUAGCUGUCUUGAGAUCAGGGUGGCUGGUGAGGUCAUAGUGCUAGUAGCUGUCUUGAUAUCAAGGUGGCUGGUGAGGUCAUAGUGCUAGUAGCGCUAGUAGCUGUCUUGAGGUCAGGGUGGCUGGUGAGGUCAUAGUGCUAGUAGUGCUAGCAGCUGCCUUGAGAUCAGGGUGGCUGGUGAGGUCAUAGUGCUAGUAGCGCUAGUAGCUGUCUUGAGAUCAGGGUGGCUGGUGAGGCCAUAGUGCUAGUAGCUGUCUUGAGGUCAGGGUGGCUGGUGAGGUCAUAGUGCUAGUAGUGCUAGCAGCUGCCUUGAGAUCAGGGUGGCUGGUGAGGUCAUAGUGCUAGUAGCGCUAGUAGCUGUCUUGAGAUCAGGGUGGCUGGUGAGGCCAUAGUGCUAGUAGCUGUCUUGAGAUCAGGGUGGCUGGUGAGGUCAUAGUUCUAGUAGCUGUCUUGAGAUCAGGGUGGCUGGUGAGGUCAUAGUGCUAGUAGCUGUCUUGAGAUCAGGGUGGCUGGUGAGGUCAUAGUGCUAGUAGCUGUCUUGAGAUCAGGGUGGCUGGUGAGGUCAUAGUGCUAGUAGCUGUCUUGAGAUCAGGGUGGCUGGUGAGGUCAUAGUGCAAGUAGCUGUCUUGAGAUCAGGGUGGCUGGUGAGGUCAUAGUGCUAGUAGCUGUCUUGAGAUCAGGGUAGCUGGUGAGGUCAUAGUGCUAGUAGUGCUAGUAGCUGUCUUGAGAUCAGGGUAUCUGGUGAGGUCAUAGUGCUAGUAGCUGUCUUGAGAUCAGGGUAGCUGGUGAGGUCAUAGUGCUAAUAGUGCUAGUAGCUGUCUUGAGAUCAGGGUAGCUGGUGAGGUCAUAGUGCUAAUAGUGCUAGUAGCUGUCUUGAGAUCAGGGUAGCUGGUGAGGUCAUAGUGCUAAUAGUGCUAGUAGCUGUCUUGAGAUCAGGGUAGCUGGUGAGGUCAUAGUGCUAAUAGUGCUAGUAGCUGUCUUGAGAUCAGGGUAUCUGGUGAGGUCAUAGUGCUAUUAGUGCCAGUAGCUGUCUUGAGAUCAGGGUAUCUGGUGAGGUCAUAGUGCUAGUAGCUGUCUUGAGAUCAGGGUAUCUGGUGAGGUCAUAGUGCUAGUAGUGCUAGUAGCUGUCUUGAGAUCAGGGUAUCUGGUGAGAUCAUAGUGCCAGGGUAAAAACAAACAUUUGCACCCCUUGUGGUCCACAGGGCCAUUAUUAAGAAAUGCUGUUUUACGAUAUCUGAUGGCUAUCUGCAUUUCUGGUAAAGACGAUGCAUGUCUGUUCACUGCUUGCUGUUUGGUCCCACAUGUGAUUUGUUUGUGAUUUCAACACAAUCUUCUUUCAGGAUGAGUAACUCUGUCCUUCCCCUCAUUGGAGAAUUGAUGGAGAUAUAGGGAAGAAGCCACUUUAGACCAUUGACAUGCACCCCUUGAUGGUGUUUACUACUUCGUGUUACACUAAUCUCCUCCCCCGACAUUUACUGAACGGUGUGUCCCACUAAUAUCAUUCCUCCCUCCAAGACAUUUACUGAUGGGUGUGUCCCACUAAUAUCAUUCCUCCCUCCAAGACAUUUACUGAUGGGUGUGUCCCACUAAUAUCAUUCCUCCCUCCAAGACAUUUACUGAUGGGUGUGUCCCACUAAUAUCAUUCCUCCCUCCCAGACAUUUUCUGAUGGGUGUGUCCCACUAAUAUCAUUCCUCCCUCCCAGACAUUUUCUGAUGGGUGUGUCCCACUAAUAUCAUUCCUCCCUCUAAGACAGUUACUGAAGGGUGUUACACUAAUUUCCUUCCCCAUUCCCAGACAUUGGGCACGUUCCUCUGCCCAGGCAUUGCUGUCGCAUGUCAGAUCUUACACAUGCCUGGAUAGACAUUUUAUUCAUUAGUUGAUGACAUGGCACGCAACCAUUGGUUGAUGCAUGCAACGUCUGAUCAGGGGAACGCGACAUUAUACUGAUGUGUGUAACACUAAUCUCCCCCCCCC